GGAACGAUAGCACAACUGGUCAGUGCGCUCGGCUCAUAACCGAGAUUAUGAUUUUGGGUUCGAUUCCCUCUCGUUCCA
rnacentral:tRNA from 1 species